UACGGGGGGGGCAAGCGUUGUUCGGAAUUACUGGGCGUAAAGGGUUCGUAGGUGGCCCGCUAAGUCACACGUGAAAUCCCUCAGCUUAACUGGGGAACUGCGUGUGAGACUGGCAGGCUUGAGUGCAGGAGAGGAACGCGGAAUUCCAGGUGUAGCGGUGAAAUGCGUAGAUAUCUGGAGGAACACCGGUGGCGAAGGCGGCAUCCUGGACCGGCAUUGACGCUGAGGCGCGAAAGCCAGGGGAGCAAACGGG
rnacentral:rRNA from 1 species